CCUGGGGCUGGAGCAGGUCCCAAGGGUUCGGCUGUUCGCCGAUUAAAGUGGUACGUGAGCUGGGUUUAAAACGUCGUGAGACAGUUUGGUCCCUAUCUUCCGUGGGCGCAGGAUAUUUGAGGGGAUCUGUCCCUAGUACGAGAGGACCGGGAUGGACGAACCCAUGGUGUUCCAGUUGUCGCGCCAGCGGCAUAGCUGGGUAGCUAUGUUCGGAAAGGAUAACCGCUGAAAGCAUCUAAGCGGGAAACCAACCUCAAGAUUAGAUAUCCCUUCCGGUGGAGACACCGGAACUAAAGGCCCCUCGCAGACGACGAGGUUGAUAGGCCGGGUGUAUAAGCACAGUAAUGUGUUUAGCUUACCGGUACUAAUUGGCCGUGCGGCUUGGCCACAUUU
rnacentral:rRNA from 1 species